rnacentral:misc_RNA from 1 species
UUAAGUUCGGCGGGUAUUCCUACCUGAUCCGAGGUCAACCUUUCAGAAGUGGGGGGUUUAACGGCGUGGCCGCGCUGCGAUCCAGAGCGAGUGUUGCUACUACGCAGAGGAAGCUACAGCGAGACUGCCACUAGAUUUAGGGGACGGCGCGCCGCGAGGGCAUGCCGAUCCCCAACACCAAGCCCGGGGGCUUGAGGGUU